rnacentral:sRNA from 1 species
AGGGAAGAAAGCCUGUGGCCUUUAGCAAGCAAGGAUGGGGGUGUAACCAGGCUCCUCGGACCUCCCAUCCCCUCACAGCCACAGACCCAGCUUUAAGGUUACUCUGGGGUCCCCUUGGCCAAGAGGAGGGUCUGUUCGGUGGGUUCAGAGCCUUAGGAUUUUAUUUUUCUUUAUUGUUGUUCAUGUCUCCAACACAUAUAAAGCCCUUUCCAUCUUAACAAAGCACUUACACGCACUGUGGCUUAACUUCUGCAGUUUGAGCCACCUGCGGGAUAUUGUAGAAACACUGCGCUGCCAAUCACAGCUUGUGAUGUGACACAUUCAUUCUGCAAGUUUAAACUUCCCCUAGCAAAGAGCUCCUGGGAAGGUGCUGCUGGAUGCAGUUUGCAACCACCUCAACCUCGUGGAAGGUGACUAUUUUGGCCUCGAGUUUCCUGAUCACAAAAAGAUCACGGUGUGGCUGGAUCUCCUAAAACCCAUUGUGAAACAGAUCAGAAGGCCAAAGCAUGUUGUUGUUAAGUUUGUGGUGAAAUUCUUUCCGCCUGACCACACACAACUCCAAGAAGAACUCACAAGGUACCUGUUCGCGCUGCAGGUGAAGCAGGACUUGGCUCAAGGCAGGUUGACGUGUAACGACACCAGCGCAGCUCUCUUGAUUUCACACAUUGUGCAAUCUGAGAUUGGGGAUUUUGAUGAAGCCUUGGACAGAGAGCACUUAGCAAAAAAUAAAUACAUACCUCAGCAAGACGCACUAGAGGACAAAAUCGUGGAAUUUC